rnacentral:rRNA from 1 species
UACGAACUGUGCGAACGUUAUUCGGAAUCACUGGGCUUACAGGGUGCGUAGGCGGCUUGUCAAGUAGGGUGUGAAAGCCCCCGGCUCAACCGGGGAAUGGCGCCCUAAACUGGCGAGCUAGAGUGAGAUAGGGGUGUGUGGAACUUCCGGUGGAGCGGUGAAAUGUGUUGAUAUCGGAAGGAACGCCGGUGGCGAAAGCGACACACUGGAUCUUGUCUGACGCUGAGGCACGCAAGCCAGGGGAGCGAACGGG